AACGAACGCUGGCGGCAGGCCUAACACAUGCAAGUCGAGCGGACCUUUCGGGGUCAGCGGCGGACGGGUGAGUAACGCGUGGGAAUAUGCCCUUCUCUACGGAAUAGUCCUGGGAAACUGGGGGUAAUACCGUAUACGCCCUUUGGGGGAAAGAUUUAUCGGGGAAGGAUUAGCCCGCGUUGGAUUAGGUAGUUGGUGGGGUAAUGGCCUACCAAGCCGACGAUCCAUAGCUGGUUUGAGAGGAUGAUCAGCCACACUGGGACUGAGACACGGCCCAGACUCCUACGGGAGGCAGCAGUGGGGAAUCUUAGACAAUGGGGGCAACCCUGAUCUAGCCAGGCCGCGUGAGUGAUGAAGGCCUUAGGGUUGUAAAGCUCUUUCAGCUGGGAAGAUAAUGACGGUACCAGCAGAAGAAGCCCCGGCUAACUCCGUG
rnacentral:rRNA from 1 species